ensembl:lincRNA
AUGGCUUUAUUCAGACAAAAAUACAAAGCUUCUGAUUUCAGUGCCCAGCUUGUGUCCCCCCAGUGGGCCUGGCAAUCUGCUCACCUCACUUCUCACCAAGCCCGAGCCCGGGGAGUGAAGUCCCGUGAGCAAGCUGGCCGGAUGGGCAGGAGGUGGAGGGUGGGUGACACAGUAACAACUUCAAUGGGAACAGAAGCGUCAAGCAGCACUCUGCAAGAUCACUGCUGUGUCUCUGAGUUCCAGGCGUGGACAGGCUGCCCGGAGACCAGCCUGCAACUCUGCCAGCCAGGGACAGCCCGGACCUGGAGGAGCAGGCGGGGGAGAGGUUGAUAAUGUGUCCUGUCCCAAUGUGCCAUGCCAAAGAAAGUACAGCCUCUGCACUGGGAAGAAAUCACUUACUGCACAAGUUACAGGAAGAUUCUGAUGGGAAAGAGAAAAGGGUGAAGGUAUUAGAUUGAACCUGAUGCAUGAGAUACAAGGCUGAAGAGAUGGGAGUUUAUUGGCCUGGAAAUGUAUUCCCGUGACUCAAGGUUCCACAUCCUGUCAGACACUUGGAACUUGUCCCAACACACAGCCUCAAGGUGCCCUGAAAGUGGGACACAGCAAUGAUGUAGAGAUGCCAGAGCUGCCUCGAGUUGGUCAGGUGGCUCAGGGAGGUGGGAAUAGUAGAAUGAGGAUUCUAGGGGAUUCAUUGCCUUACAUGUUUCAAGGGAUACUCCCUUCACCAGGACAAUAAGAAAUGUACAAACCAGUUUUUAGAAGGCUAGGGCAGUGUCCUUUAUGGAUCCAGGUUCACAGAGGAAAAUGCUACCUCAGAAUGGGGCUCCAUAAGGUUGAUGGCAACAAAAGGAUUCUGCGAGUUCAGAGUCCAGGUAGCUGCACUUAAACAACAAAGGCCAGAGGGGCACAAUUAGUGUAAUAGGCAGUGAGACCAGAGCCGUAACCAGAGUGUCGUGUCCUAGGGCUCUGGGGCACUGGCUAGUAGACCACUGUGUUCUUGGGGAUGAAAACAAGACAUGACUUGAGAAAUGGUUAUUUAACAUCAUGACCAGAGAAAACUGAAAGCAAGUGAGUAGCAGGCAAGCACUGGCAAGGGCAAAGCAUAAUCCUUUUAGAGUUUCCAGACCUGAGCUAGAGGCAAGUGACAGAAAGGAGUGCCUGAACCCCUCAAAGAAAGAUCCUGCAACCCCAUCACAAAUAUAUGAGAAAUACAGUGAAAUUCAAAUUUAAAAAUUGUUCAGAGUAAAAGACACAUUGACAUUAAUCCCUCUCAAAAUACUCUCCUCACUUUGAACACAUUAUCCCAUUGUUCUUGCCACUUUCUGCAGCAGUUCUGGAAGUCCUCUGUCCUGAGUGUCCUUACAAGGAGUAAAUGCUGCUGCUGAGUGGCAUCUGAUGGAAACAUAUGAACACAUGGCAGUGUGUGCUCACCCCCCUUCUUCACUGGGUCUGGCACUAUGUGACUUCUGGCCCCUUUCCAAAGUCAAAAUGACCAUGAAAGGUCAAGGGUUUUGAAUAAAUUCAGGACACAGAGGCAGCCACAAUAGUGCAGCUACAAGGUGUGAUUGGAGAAAAAAAUGGUGACUGUUUAAUUUCUUUGUAGUUUUUUACAGUAGAAGACAAUGCCAUUAACCUCCUUCAACAUACUCACCCUCACUUCAGACACACUCAUCCCAUCCUUCUUGCUGCUUCUGAAGCAGUUCUGGCAGUCCUCUUUUCUAUCAUUAGUUGUUCGGUCAUGGCUGCCUCAACGUCCUGAACGGAUUCAAAACAUUUCCCUUUCAUGGUCAUUCUGACUUUGAGGAAGAGCCAGAGCCAGAUCCCGUGAUGAGGUGGGAGAGGACACAUUGUGAUGUCUCCAUGAGCCUGAAUUUCUGUUGGACGGUGUUUGGUAGCUGUGUUCACAGAAGACAUCCAGGAAGGGGACCUUCACAACCGCUUCAGAAAGCGGCAAGAGUAAUGGAAUAGGUGUGUUUGCAGUAAGGGGAGGAUGUUGAGGGAAUCAGCAGCAGUGUGUCUUUUACUGUAGUAAUAUUUUUAGUUUAAACAUUCACCAUAUAUUUCAGUCACACCUGGUAAGUACAUUCACUCACUUUAGUCACGCAAGCUCGGAGCAAUGACUGCAAGGCGGCCUGCCUGUACCCCCUGGCCUCCUAAGUCCCCACUUUGUUGCCAGGUGAUGACACCUUUUGGGUCUCCUGUUAUCAGUGUUGCUCUGAUCCUACAUCUAACAGCCCUAGGAAAGUCUGGGUAAAUAGGUGUCUUGGCAGGGAGAGCCCAAGCACUAAUAUUUUGUUUUCCUAAAGAAAUAGUGCACAAGUUUGGCCUCUUUUAAUUUUGGAGGCAGCAGCUUCACAUGGAGGGUGCUCCUCUAACCCAUUCGUGGAUGACUCAGAAGUCUGCCAGUUUCAAGUAAUGCCCAGAACCAGAGACGUCUGCAGUGGGAUUGGGAAGUGUAGCUCCCUUCCUCGUUGCUAAGACUAUGACUCAGGUGAGCUGGGGGAGCGCAUGGGAGAAGGCAGCUCAGAGCCCAGUGCUCUGAGUCAGAGAACUGCCCCGUGCUUCCUCAAACAGUUUCCAGUGUGUCCUGGGUCCUACUAGAGCCUGAGCACUGGCUGGGGGACAUAGAGCCAUUGCUAUUGGAGAUGGCCACUCUGAGCCGUAAACCGGGAAAUUCUCUAAGCUAUAAGAACAUGUGCACCAUGGCCAUAGGGUGGAAAUAAUGCAUGUCGGUCAGGUCUGAGCAAGUCCACAGGGUACAGGUCAGCUUCAUGGACGGGGAUCUGAUUCAUGUGCUGCCAACCUGUGCUAUACCCACGCUUCUCCUCCAUCCCACACCCACAGCCUCAAGAGAUGUCCCCUGUGACCGAAUGACAGAGGAGGGAAAAAACACAAGCAUGUUUUUAAAGUGAAAUGUGUUGGGAGCCACUGGAGUUGGUCGUUGGCCAUGUGUGUGAGGGUGGGACAGAUCCACAGUGCCUCAGGCAGUCAAGCUACCUCCGUAUUGAGAAGAGUAUCCGGCUUGGACAGUUACAGCCUUAGUCUUAGUCUCUGUCGCUAGGCAACAUUAUCUCUCAUGGUACUACUUUGCAAGUGUAUAAAAUAAACGCCCCUACUGUUGGAGCCAGUCCUCUUGCUCACCAGGCAAGAGGUAACUCCACCUGACCCCCAGCUAUUGUCUCUUGUCAUUAUUUUCUAUAUCCUCUCACCAUUUUCUCCUGGG